GCUGUUGCCUAGGCUGGAGUGUGCAGUGGCGUGAUCUUGGCUCAAGCAAUUCUCCUGUCUCAGCCUCCUGAAUAGCUGGGAUUACAGGUGUGCACCACAACACCUGACUAAUUUCUGUAUUUUUAGUAGAGAUGGAGUUUCACCAUGUUGGCCAGGCUGGUCUCGAACUCCUGAUCUCAUGUGAUCUGCCCACUUUGGCCUCCCAAAAUGCUGGAAUUACUCUGACCCAAUUCUUCUUUUUUUUUAUUGACAGACUAUCACAACUUUUUUGGAUGAAUUAUGAGUUAUAUGGUUACCACAAUUCCAUGCUUGGAUGUCUGUUUUAUAGAAUUCAUAAUUUAGUAAGAGCAUUGCUUUUAUCAUGACACUAUGUCCCUCCUAAAUUAUAUUCAUAUUGUUGCCCCAAAAUAAAUACAUUUAACAUCAAUGAAAAUCUUUUAAGAAAAAUUUCAGUUACAUUCUCAAUAAUGCAAAAUAUUUCACUAAACAAGGAUUUCCAAAAGCUUUAUUUCAAUUCCAUCAAUUGGAUGAAAAACUCAAUCCAUUAGUGAGAUUAACUGAUCUUUUAUUUAAAGCAUGUGAUGGCAUUGAUAUAAAAUUGGCCUCAUUCAACUGUGCGCCAAGAUUGUCUUCUGACAAUGGAGCCAACACAAUAACAACUGUCAUGAACUUUUUGAGCAUGGGUAAGAAACUAUAGACUCCAAAAUGAGUACAAUUAAUUUGAAAAAACAAUUGUUUCAUUUAAAUGGAAACAUCUGCUUUGCAUACUGAAACUUAAAUGUGCCUUCUGCUGUCCCAUGUGUUAAACAGUUGUAUCUGGACAUAGUUUUUAUUGAAAUAAUUACUAACUUCAGUAGAUUUAUAGCAAAAUUCAAGCUUGUUACAAUUUAACAAAAGUGUUUAGAUUAUCCUCUAGAGGAGGGCUACUCAACCUUUAUUUCCUGCACUUAUUGCAUAUGUACAUAAUCUAUAAGGUUUUGCUGCUGCUGUUGUUUUUGAGAUGGGGUCUCGCUCUGUCGCCAGGCUGGAGUACAGUGGCGCGAUCUCGGCUCACUGCGACCACUGCCUCCUGGGUUCAAGUGAUUCUCCUGCCUCAGCCUGCUGAGUAUCUGGAACUAUAGGCGCCCACCACCAGGCCCACCUAAUUUUUGUAUUUUUAGUAGAGACAAGGUUUCGCUAUUUUAGCCAAGCUGGUCUCAAACUCCUGACCUCAAGUGAUCUGCCCGCUUUGGCCUCCCAAAGUGCUGGGAUUACAGGCAUGAGCCACCGCGCCCAGUCUUUAAUGUUUUUCCAUUUUCCACUGACCCUACUGACUUCAUGCAUCUUGAAGAUUGCAGUAAGAGCCAUAGCAGAACUGCAGAAGACAAUAAAUAGUCCCCAAAUAUUUCUCCCAUCAAUACCACCUAAGACAGAAAAAUGGACAUUCCCUAGCACUGUGUGCCACUAUUCACUUUGUUUUCUUAGCAAGUGUUUUUGCAUGCUUUCUUUGAAAAGGAGGGCUUAAUUAAAUUGGCCCAGGAAAGUACUGGAAGUAAAGAGAUAAAGUUGGUUG
ensembl:lncRNA